rnacentral:lncRNA from 1 species
UCCCAAAUCCGUUGCAUUUGUCAGUGAUGUAAAGCGAAAUCCUUUGCCAGGUGAACCACCCAUCGUGUAAUGGCAUAGACUUUCACCCUACGCUUUCUCUGCUGAUCGCAUCCCAGCGUUCGCAUGGGAGCGCUUCGUGACUGCUGUGAAUGCUAAUGCUUUGGGGCUUGCUGAACUUUUGCUUCCAGAAAUACCAGCUUAGCUGCUCUGCCUAAAGAGUUUCUGCUACAGAAGCACGAGCGUGUGGUGGUACGGACCAAGGUCACAUGUACAGUUGCCUGCAUUCAGGAUUGUAGCUAUGAUGAUUUAUCAGUAAACUCUAGAAGUGGGAACAAAACCUACAGAGGCGGAAGAUCAAAGAGAGAUGUGUCACCAUCCAACGGGACAAUAAGUGCUCAGAACAAUAUAACAAGUAUGUGAUUUGGAAUUUGGCUGGGAGGUGAAUCUUCAGGGUGUUUUGUGCCUAUGUAGUGUGUUAGCAUUUUAGGUCCAAACUGUAGUCUAGAGUGUAAACAGCAUAGCAGGGAGUGGAUCCAGUUGCUGUGCUGGAGUAGAGAAUCAGCUGGAGAAAUGUAUCUGCACAGCUCACUGGGAGUGUAGUUUAAAGCUGUGAUUGUAGAAAUGAUUUUUAUCACCGUUUGACUUUUCUAAAGGUUUGUGUUCCCUUCUCUUCCCUGCUUUUUAUGGCCUUCCUAGG